UUAGCCGUAGCGGUAAACGCGCAGCUUUUCAGAAAGACCAAGCUGAGGGUCGUGGGUUCGAAUCCCACCGGUUGAC
rnacentral:tRNA from 1 species